CAGUACCGCGGUAAUACGAAGGGUGCAAGCGUUACUCGGAAUUACUGGGCGUAAAGCGUGCGUAGGUGGUGGUUUAAGUCCGUUGUGAAAGCCCUGGGCUCAACCUGGGAAUUGCAGUGGAUACUGGGUCACUAGAGUGUGGUAGAGGAUAGUGGAAUUUCCGGUGUAGCAGUGAAAUGCGUAGAGAUCGGAAGGAACAUCUGUGGCGAAGGCGACUAUCUGGGCCAACACUGACACUGAGGCACGAAAGCGUGGGGAGCAAACAGGAUUAGAUACCCCCGUAGUCCCUGUCUCUUAUACC
rnacentral:rRNA from 1 species